GGGUUCCACCCACACUCAGGGUGAGAGGGAGAUUCUGAAGCUUUGUGUUUCUUGCUAGCUAGUCAAAGGAUAGAAAAAUAAUACAUGCCAAAAGAAAUUUGAGGAACAAAUUCAGCCCUGAGACAGGUCACGGAAACAGCCCUCCAGUCUUCCUCAAGAAAUGUAGACUGAAUCAGCAUUUACCCACCCCUGGAAAAACGCAGGAGCUGCGCAUUCCUGGGAUCUCAGCAGGGCUUUUGGGAAGAGCAGAACUGGGCUGGAGUCACGGUUUCUGGGCUGACUCUAGAUUUUCCCCGGCUUUUGCCACCUGUGAUGGCUGGAGAGUAUCUGAAGAUGACAGCCAGUGUCCUUAGCUUGUGAAGAUUGGAUGAUGGCCGGGGCCCUCAGACCCCUUGGCCCCUCCUUAACUGCAGGUCUUCAAAAGCCCAACACCUGUUCGUCAUUUCUGUGGCUUCCCAGGGAGUCUUACUCUUCUGCUUCAAGCUGCUGGGUUUGACUCUGAGCAGUUUCUGUGCAGCCACAAAGAUUCUUAUGUGAGACACACUGCUGCUUCAGAGUGCUCCAACCCAUCUCCCCUGAUUAAACACUAACCAGGGCUGCCACAGCAAAGUGGCUCAAAUGGGUGACGUCAACAACAGAUUUACUUUCUCAUAGUUCUGGAGGCAGGUGUCUAGGAUCAAGGUGGUGGCAAGGCUAUUCCUUCUGUUGCCUCCCUCCUUGCCUUGUGGAUGACCGUCUUCUCCGCGUCUUUCCAAGAUCUCUCCUCUGUGCAUGUCAGUGUCCUUGCUUCCUCUUCUUAUGAAGACACCGGUCAUGUUGGAAUGCAACAGAAGAGAGUGCACGGCUUCUGAGGUUGCAGCUUUUGGGAGAAGCCAUCUACCAUUGAUGACAGACAUGCCGUGUGGAAACCAAACCAGCCAUGUGGAGAGGCUACCUGGACAGAGGCACAGGGCCAGCAGCAGCUGUGGAGACAGACAUGUGAGCAAAGAAAUCAUCUUUGAUGUACAGCCAAGUUGAGCCUUCAGAUGACUCCGAUUUCAGCCACCUUUGGACUGCAACCACAUGAAAGACUCUAAAUAGAAGCCUCCCAGCUGAUCCCGGUUAACCCACAGUGCUGAAGGGGAUAAUAAUAAAUUGUUGUUUUAAGCCACUAA
rnacentral:lncRNA from 1 species